rnacentral:rRNA from 1 species
UGCAAUUGGAAUGAGUACAAUUUAAAUCCCUUAACGAGGAUCAAUUGGAGGGCAAGUCUGGUGCCAGCAGCCGCGGUAAUUCCAGCUCCAAUAGCGUAUAUUAAAGUUGUUGCAGUUAAAACGUCCGUAGUCAAACUUUAGUCUUACCGGCGCGGUGGCCUGGUCUUCAUUGAUCAAGCUCGCUGUCGCUGGAGACUCCACGUCCGCUGGCUCCUAGUCCUCGUGGCUAGGGUUUUGUGGACAAUUACCAUGAGCAAAUCAGAGUGUUUAAAGCAGGCUUUUAAGCUUGAAUGUGUUAGCAUGGAAUAAUGAAAUAUGACUUUAGUCCUAUUUUCGUUGGUUUAGGUACUAUAGUAAUGAUUAAUAGAAACGGUUGGGGGCAUUUGUAUUUGGCCGCUAGAGGUGAAAUUCUUGGAUUGGCCGAAGACAAACUACUGCGAAAGCAUUUGACCCAGGACGUUUUCAUUGAUCAAGGUCUAAAGUUAAGGGAUCGAAGACGAUUAGAUACCGUCGUAGUCUUAACCACAAACUAUGCCGACUAGAGAUUGGGCGUGUUUCUUUUGACUCGCUCAGCAUCUUAGCGAAAGU